rnacentral:scRNA from 1 species
UUGAGCAGUAGGAGAACCACCAGGAAACCAUA